AAAGAUAAUUGAAGAAACCUGCAUGUAAGCCCUUAAACUUCCUCAUAUGAAGAGGUGGAAGUGGAUGGAGGGACCCUAAAACAACCCAUUUGGACUUGGGAAUAAAAGUCCUUAUUUCAGGAUUCUAGCAUACGUGAGGACCCAGCGGAGCAGUUUGAGCCAGCAGUCUGCUCUCAAUCUGUACAGCCAGCUCAUUUAAGCAAACUUGAGCAAGAAUGGAAACAUUAGAUCAUGCUUUAUGAUCCUCUAAAACCUGGGCUAGUUUUAGCCUUCUAAAAGUCGAAUGUAAAACACUGGCAUGCUGCUGCCAACCUGCCUGUCCUCUUUGACCCGCAGAACACAUGCAGGAGGAAAGCUAUAAGCUUUGGUCUGGAAGCUAUGGUUUUUCAACAUAAAGAGAUUCUGUCCCAAUGCCUUUGCAUUUCACUGGUCUCUCAGCCUGAGUGGGAAGAAGGCUUUCUGUUGGUAGCUACAGUGGAGCAAUGGAGUUGGAACUCUAUUUUUUUUAUGAAAGCCAAAACAUUGGAUUAUAUCUGUUUAUGUGGCAGGCAUGUACUGCCCUUCCCUUAGAUGAAUUUCACUGCUUGGCUUUAAGACAUGAGGGAUAACAAUGUGUAGCUUUCCCUGAAAAUCACUCAGGCCAGACCCUUAAAAUUAGCACCUACAUCUGAAAAAGCUCAUAGCUUAUCGUAUGCUUCACCCAUAGUAUCCCUAAGCAGCAAGCUAAAGCAAGCAUAAGACACAUCUGCAGCCCUGCAGACAUUUAGUUUGAACUAGCAGCCUGAAGCUUUCCUACAGGGAGAACUCCAGCAAACAGCAGACCUCGGUAGAAGUUGCAGGAGUUCAAUAACUUUGUGAUGUAAGGAUAACCAUCCUUAUUGACAAUAUCUGAAGCAAUGCAUGAUAUGAAGAUUUUUCAUUAACUAUAUAGGAGGCUUUUAUGAUGCUGGAUCUAUAUUGUAGUCUAUCAAAGUGGAAAGCUGUAUGUCAAUUCCUAUGUAGCAAAUCAUGAUAUACAUUUGAAAACAUGUUUGCAAAUGGUCAGCUGGCAAGUGUACUGUGCACUGGUCCAUCUGUUUCCCCAGUAACUGGGUCAGCCACUACAGAAGAGACUGUUUGACCCCUGCAGUGACAGAAGCCAUGACCUCAUGAAGAAAGUCUGUAUCUGACUGGAUUUUGACACUGGGAUAGAGGGGGGGAAAAAGUGCUUUUUAUAGAACCAGCUGGAACUGGCAGAUGCCUGUUAGCCACCUUUACAUCUUGGUUUGUGGAGCAAUGCUAACUGCUCGUCAGCAAUGAUGGUGAAGGAGAAGUAGGAAAGAAGAUCUGCAAGUUGCUGUUGCAGAUCUGAUGCAUCCCACCUAAAGAGGCUGCAGUUAGGACUUGCUGCUUUCCUAGGAAGCUCUACCACUCUAGCAUCACUGUGUGUGGAAAAAGUGCUACUGGGAGGGUGCCAAUAUAUUAGGAAGUGUUAUGGUGGCUGUUUUAAUUUAAUGUUUCAGUUUUCAAGAACUGAUAACAGUACUGAUAUCUUCUCUGAGAUGACUGGUUACAAAAAAUGCCAUGUUAUAACUACUCCUAUGUUACAUUUUUUGUGAGAAGAGAAUCAAGCUUAUGCUUUCUAUAUUAAUUUUCUCUUCUCCUUCCGCCUCUCAGGCCCAAGUACCCAUUACAAGAAGUUCACAGGGAUUAUAACUCUUUCCUAUCCCUAACAAUUUUAAAGCUAGAGUGGCUGUUUUCCUCAAAGUUAGGCUCUAGUACAAACAAGAAAACUUUGUCACAAAAACGUUACCUAAUCAGCAUGGAUAUUUAUCUUUAACUGCUAGGAAUCUUUGUUUUUUUUCUUUGUGGACAGGCACCAUUACAAACUGUACAGAAAGAGUUCCCAGGGGUUUAGAUGUCUGUGGUGUCUUGACCAUGUCUGCCAUACAGAACCAGGUACAUGGUUUUUGUAGUGAAAUUCUAUAGUGUCUUUGUGGACAUAAAUAUAUAGAUAGUAUGUAAAAACUGAGCAAAGCUUUCCCUCAAAUGUGAGGGAAACAGAUUACGUAGAGUUUAAGCAUCAGAAAGAAAUACAUAUUCUCAGAAUGCAUUCCAAAAAGUGAGAAGACAAAAAAAAGCUGAGUGUUUAAUGUAAUUUCUAAUACCUCAUGCUGUCCCAAUAGUUGAAG